rnacentral:rRNA from 1 species
AUUGAACGCUGGCGGCAGGCCUAACACAUGCAAGUCGAACGGUAACAGGAAGAAGCUUGCUUCUUUGCUGACGAGUGGCGGACGGGUGAGUAAUGUCUGGGAAACUGCCUGAUGGAGGGGGAUAACUACUGGAAACGGUAUCUAAUACCGCAUAACUUCUCAAGACCAAAGAGGGGGACCUUCGGGCCUCUUUCCAUCGGAUGUGCCCAGAUGGGAUUAGCUAGUAGGUGGGGUAACGGCUCACCUAGGCGACGGUCCCUAGCUGGUCUGAGAGGAUGACCAGCCACACUGGAACUGAGACACGGUCCAGACUCCUACGGGAGGCAGCAGUGGGGAAUAUUGCACAAUGGGCGGAAGCCUGAUGCAGCCAUGCCGCGUGUAUGAAGAAGGCCUUCGGGUUGUAAAGUACUUUCAGCGGGGAGGAAGGGAGUAAAGUUAAUACCUUUGCUCAUUGACGUUACCCGCAGAAGAAGCACCGGCUAACUCCGUG